GACGAACGCUGGCGGCGUGCUUAACACAUGCAAGUAGAACGAGUGGCGAACGGGUGAGUAAUACGUGAGUAACCUGCCCUCUUUUUGGGAUAAGCCUUGGAAACGGAGUCUAAUACCGGAUAAAGGGGGAUGGGGUCGCGGCCUAUCAGCUUGUUGGUGGGGUGAUGGCAUACCAAGGCGGUGACGGGUAGCCGGCCUGAGGGGGUGGCCGGCCACGUUGGAACUGAGAUAGGGCCCAGAGUGCUACGGGAGGGAGCAGGGAGGGGUAGUGCAAAGUGGGCGGAAGUCUGAUGGAGGUGCGUCGCGUGGAGAAUGAAGGCUUUCGGCUUGUAAACCUCUGUCGCGAACGAACGGGUAGGUUGAGGAAAAGCGGCGGCGAACUACGUGCCAGCAGCCGCGGUAAUUC
rnacentral:rRNA from 1 species